GCCCGGUUAGCUCAAUCGGUAGAGUAAGUUGAACACCUUCACACGAUCUCACGAGUCAGUCAGCUAACAAUUCGACAGGCGUGAGACUCUUAAUCUCAAGGUUGCGGGUUCGACCCCCGCAUCGGGCU